rnacentral:lncRNA from 1 species
AAUUAGAUUCAUAUGUAUAUUUUUUCUUUUAAAAUUAAUCUAGAGGAGAAGAGAUUUUAAAAGAAAAAUAAUUUUUUUUAAAAAAAAUCUAUUCCGUACGGAUGCUACAAUCGCAUCGGUACGAUCGCUACAAUUUUUUUUUUUUUUUGCUAGUUUGCUUGAAAACAAGAAACCGUCGAUUAAGUUGUUUAAUCAAUUCGAACUUUUCGAAUUAAUCAAAACGAUCUAUAAAUCGUUCUACCGGCGAAAAAUAGUUUAGAAUACCUAAAUUCAUAAUUUUAAUCUUAAAAACAUGAGGAUUGCUCUGAUACCACUGUUAGAAAAUUGCGUACGGUAAAACGUAGCGGAAAAAGAAAUCAAACAAAUUUGAUUUUUGAAAACUCUCGAGAUCCAAGCUAAAAAAUCACGCAAUUAGGAUCCCUCAUGUUCUUCUUUAAGAUUAAAGGAGAAAAGUAAGAUCGAAUCUUUACCUUUUUCGUGGAUAGAUCUUCACUUCAAUUUGAUGAUCGUAGAAUUCUAUUUUCUUGAAGCCGCACACGCGUCCGACCUCUAUAGGUAUCCACACAAGGUUCUUGAUUUGAUCAUGUCCUAACCGGGGUGCUAGCUCCCUUGCAAAAGGACGUCUAUUUGCUAGAAGAUGGAAGAGAGAGGAGAAAAGAGAUGACGGCUAGGAUUUUCCAAAAACUCUCGUAUUGUUAUAUAGAGGAAUAUAAUCCUCUUUUAAUAAUAUAAUAACCAUUAAGGAUAAAUACAAAUCUAGAUUCAAAUUUAUCCUUUCCUUAAUUAGUUAGAUCAAUCAAAUCCUAAUUUGAUUCGACUUGAACUUAAUAUUAAUUUGAUCUUAUCAAAUUAAUAAUGUAAUAUUUGCACAUAAGUCCUCUUAUAAUUUACUAACUAUUAGUAAGUCCUCUCUUGUAACAUUUACACUUUAAUACCACUAAUUUGUAAUAAUUACAAAUUAGUCCAAUUAUCAACAUAUUGACAAUUAGGUCCUCCGACGAUUCAAUAAUCGCGAUCUAGCUAUCCGAUCAAUCAUAACCUCUUAUGUGUGUGACCACAUAGGUUCUAUUCUAUCUGGUAGUGAGAUAUAUUUUGAUCACUAUCAACAAUAUCACUGAAACUCCUUUCAGUGGAUCGGAACAAUUCCAACUCAGCCCAAUGAGAAUUAUCGAUCAUCUAGAUAAUUCUCAUGAGUCUCACAAUCCACCAGUGACGCCUAGCAGCAUGUAGUGGCAUUCCAGUAGAAUGGAAUACUGAACCUCUUGGUACAGUUACCGUGUGAUACAAUCCUUCUAUCAUGAGUCCCGACUAGACGGAGGUUAUGGAAUAACUCGUCAAACCCCAUCGUCUGUCAUAUGUUAAAUUUAUUCGACUCGAGUUUCUAAUAUCGGAAACCCUUUUCCGCUAUUUAUUCUGCCCUGGCCAAGGUCUUCUAAACUCGGUCUCAUAAAUCACAUAGGACUAACACCCCUAUCUACCAAGGGAGAUAGAUUCCAUCUAAGUGCGCACCCUAUUCCUACAAUGAACCUACUGCAGCCAACAUGCACCGCAAGGACCCGAAUGGCUAGGGACCAAGUGUAUGUACAGUCAAACUACAGUAACCUCAUUGUGAAUAGCCGAGGCACCGCAGGUCAAAGGACCAGUCACACUACUGCAACAAUUGAGUAAGUCACUGACGAGUGAGUAGACAUCCAAGUGACUUCUCGCGUUGGUCACGCUCGGUACCCUUGUUCUCUAACAACCACCUGCAUAUUCGCUUCAGUGUCCCCACACUGUCGACUCGAGACUCGUCUAUCCAGAAAGGGAAGUGACCUAUGCACCAAUCUCACCGAAUCAAUCACCAUCCCCGUGAUGAUCCAUUGAUCGGGAGUAUUUAGAAAUUAACCAUCAAUGACACAUGUCUCAAAUUCUCAAUACUUGAGAAUAUAUGUCAUCAUAUUAUUAAUUCCUUGGACGAUUCAUGGACACAUACACAACAUGAAUGGAAAUAAAAAUCCGAAGUUAUUCAUAAUAUUUAAAAGUCAAAUACAAAUUUAUGUCCUAGAAAGAAUACAUGUGUCGGCCUGGUUGGCUUCUAGGGCAUACAUCUAGCAUCGGUGUAUGGUGUUCCUUUCGACGACGAAGGGUUACUUAGUGUGUAUGUCGAGGUUGAGAUCUCCAGGGGAGAUUCAAUUACUGAGGCGAUUCGAUGUUGGGGUGUAGUAUACUGAAUUUUAGCAAAUUGCGAAGUUCAAACAAGGGGAAUGAUAUUUGGAACCUCCCUACAUGUUUUAAAGAGUUUAAAGAUGUUUACGGACAAGUUUGGAAGUGAUCGGAUUGUCGGAGACAAGAAAAUGCAUUGCCAUUUCGAGUUUGGCAUUUUAUGCAUUGGUGUACUGGUACAAAUAUAAUGCUGUACCGGUACAACAAGCAGCAGAGUCAGCAGGUGCGUGGCAGCAGGGGUCAUUUGGUCUUUUGGGCUCUUGUGCUUAUCCUCUUAAGUCUUAGCUCGACUUCUGAAGCUACCCAAGAGUGCUGGGAGUUCAGGAGUAGGGUUUGGCUUCUCUCUCACUCCCUCUCUCUCUAGGAAUUUCUCUCUCUACUAGGAAUCAAGGGUUUAAGCUUGAUUCUCUUCUUUGCUUGUUGGUUACUGGCAAGAAGUGGUUUGGAGCUGCUGUGGAAGAAAGAAGAAGGAGUUUUAAAGAGUAUUUCGCAACCUUGAACAUUGUUCUUGCAGGAUGAGGCUUUGGAGAGGUAAAUUACUUAUUUACUAUCUAGUUUGAGGCAUAAUAAUAGAGCUAAGUAAGAUUUGGUCCUUGCUGCCAGCCGAGGUUGGGAGAGGUUCCAGCAGCUAGAGGAGAGUUUUUUUACUGUAAUUCCUCUAUAAUAGAGUAGGGAAGAAGGGAAGUAAGGGUUGAGAAAGGUAAUUAGUUAAUUAAUUACUCUUUUGUUGAGGCAAUAUAGUGAGGAAUUAUGCUGAUUUUGGUUCUUGUUGGCAGCAGCUACCGAGAUCUCCUAGAGUUGAUUAUUCAACCCUAGUGAGCUAAUUCUGGAAAUUCUUAAGCAUCAGGAAAUGAGACUUCAAGUUAAGAAGCUGAACAAGGGAGAUUUUCAGCUAGAUUAAAUAGUUUAAAAGAAUAUAAAAGCUGUUUUUGAACUAAUUGACAGCAGGCUUGCAACAGGAUAUUAAGUGAGACUCGGCUGAGUAUUGGGAGCUUUCGGAGGCUGAAUUAAGUGCCUCAACUUGAACCUAAACCGAGGUUCAACCUAUAGCCUUGUACAAGGUAAGAAUGUAGUUGAAUUUUGAUGUUUGAUACCAGUUUCAAUGUAGUUUGACGAGAUAAUUCACAGCUGUAGUGUAGCAGGUUGGGGGAUCAUUUGGAGCUGAUUUUAGUAAUAGUUAUGGGUUAAUUAAAGUAUUCCAACCAAAGUGGAAGUGAAGGAUCAACUCUGGUACGAACUUAAGUGAGAUUUUUGCUGAAAUAAGAUGCUUAGAUAAUAGUUCAAUGCAGUUUUUAUAACUAGUGCGCAGCAGGUGCGAGGAUCGUUGUGGACUAAACUUGACACCUUGUUUGGGCUGAUUUAAACUAAGUUGGAGGUGCUUCAACCUAAAAUAAAGGAAAGCUUAACUUUAAGUUAAGAUAAGGUAAGAAUUGGUCCAUUUUAUGUAAAGUUCUAUUAUCGAUAUAGAACUUCUGCUCAUAGCUGAUUUUGGAAUUGAUAUUAGGGGACUUAAAAGCUUCGGAUUUCCUUUGAAAGGGAGUUCAACAGGGACCAUCGAAGUAUAGGUGGGUCUGACCUUUCCGAAAUGGGUGAAUUCCCUCUAUAUCUCCUUUGACAUUAUGAGUGGAAGUUAUUACAUAUUUAUGAAUAUAUGUAUAGUGCGAGGAAUUGAAACAUGCGUAAAUGUGUAGAUCAUAUCGGAUAUGAUGGCAUAUCUAAACAAUAAGGAAAGACUUAUGACUUGCUUAUUUCAAUAAUCACUUAUUUGAUUAUUAUGCAUUCAUAGUAUUAAUGAUUUGUAUAAGCAAGUUAAGCUUGAGGUCAUUUAAAAGGAUAUAACUGUUACAGCGUGAAUAUACCAUUUAGCUCAGUUGAACAGCAAAGGAAGUGAUGUAUUUUGAAUUACGCUAGGUAAUGUUAUAUUUUAAGCAUGAUGGCUAUACUUGAACCUGUUGUGCAGAUGAAUUGGCUUGAGUAUACAUUCAUAGUAUAGAAUGAACUGUAUAGAGAUUAUGUGAAAAGUAUUUCAUCGAUUAUUUUGCCACUUAUAUUAAGUAGCUGGUUUCUACCUUCAUCUGAUAGAUUGGCUAGAGUUUCACUUGAUGAUAUGAACUAGUCAGGUAAUUAGAAUUUAGUAUUAUGACAUAACAUGAAUGUUAUACAACUGAAUGUAAUCUAGUCGAUUCAAUAGCUAGAUUUGGAUAUGAUAUCAUACUUGUAUAAUCAAGUAGAUGUAAUUGCAUAGCAUUUGUUCUCUCCAAGUAGUGGAGGUUUAUAUUGAACUACAGAAUAUGUGCCAUGAGUCUUUGAGUAUCACUUUAGUAAAUCACUUCCCUUAUGUGUAAGGAGUAGUGAGAGGACUAUGAGUGAGUGACCAUGUGUAGCCUGAUAGAAUCACUAGUACGAUGUAAAACUUAAACUUAUUAAGUUAUACUAGCUAUUGAUAGUGAAUUGUGUCAACAAGUAGUUGAUAGCAAUUUAUGAUUUGGUACUACAGUGUCGACCUUGGGUCGAGUUGAGAUCCCAUGAUGUCGUUGUGAUAUUGUACCUGUUAGAAAAUUGCGUACGGUAAAACGCAGCGAAAAAAGAAAUCAAACAAAUUUGAUUUUGAAAAACUCUCGAGAUCUAAUCUCAAAAACCACGCAAUUAGGAUCCCUCAUGUUCUUUAAGAUUAAAGGAGAAAAGUAAGAUCGAAUCAUUACCUUUUUCGCGGAUAAAUUCUUGCCUCAAUUUGAUGAUCGUGGAAUCGGGUUCUCUUGAAGCCGCACACGCGUCCGGCCUCUAUAGGUAUCCACACGAGGUUCUUGAUUUGAUCGAUGUCCUCACCGGGGUGCUAGCUCCCUUGCAAAAGA